rnacentral:rRNA from 1 species
AAAGAAAGUAAGCAAGGGCGCAUGGCGGAUGCCUUGGCUCUCGGAGGCGAUGAAGGACGUGAUAAGCUGCGAUAAGCUCUGGGUAGGUGCAAAUAACCUUUGAUCCAGAGAUUUCCGAAUGGGACAACCCGGCAUUCUGAAGGAAUGUCAUCCAUCUUUGAUGGAAGCUAACGCAGGGAACUGAAACAUCUUAGUACCUGUAGGAAAAGAAAAUAAUAAUGAUUCCCCUAGUAGUGGCGAGCGAACGGGGAAUAGCCCAAACCACCCAUGUUACGGCAUGUGUGGGGUUGUAGGACCACGAUGUCGCAAGACAUUUGACGAAUAGAAUCCUCUGGAAAGUGGAACCAUAGACGGUGAUAGUCCGGUAUAUGAAGUCAAAUUAAGCGUAGUGGUAUCCUGAGUAGCGCGGGACACGAGAAAUCUUGCGUGAAUCUGCCGGGACCAUCCGGUAAGGCUAAAUACUCCCGAGAGACCGAUAGCGAACCAGUACUGUGAAGGAAAGGUGAAAAGCACUUCGAAUAGAAGAGUGAAAUAGUCCCUGAAACCGUGCGCCUACAAGCGGUCGGAGCUGCGUAAGCAGUGACGGCGUGCCUUUUGCAUAAUGAACCUACGAGUUACUUUUUCCGGCAAGGUUAAGCAUCUUGAGAUGUGCAGCCGAAGCGAAAGCGAGUCUGAACAGGGCGUCGAGUCGGAAGGAGUAGACGCGAAACCAAGUGAUCUACCCUUGGUCAGGUUGAAGGUUAGGUAACACUAACUGGAGGACCGAACCGAUAAGCGUUGAAAAGCUUCCGGAUGAACUGAGGGUGGGGGUGAAAGGCUAAUCAAACUUGGAGAUAGCUCGUACUCCCCGAAAUGCAUUUAGGUGCAGCCUUGUGAGUUACUAAUGUGAGGUAGAGCGACUGAUAAGAUGCGAGGGCUUCACCGCCUAUCAAGUCUUGAUAAACUCCGAAUGCGCAUUAGUUCUAUCACAGGAGUGAGGGCAUGGGUGCUAAGGUCCAUGUCCUAAAGGAGAAGAAUCCAGACCAUCAGCUAAGGUCCCCAAAUAAACACUAAGUUGAACUAACGAAGUCAGAUUGCUAAGACAGCUAGGAUGUUGGCUUGGAAGCAGCCAUUCAUUUAAAGAGUGCGUAACAGCUCACUAGUCGAGGAGUUUGGCGUGGAUAAUAAUCGGGCAUUAAGUGUUUUACCGAAGCUAUGGGAUCAGUAAUGAUCGGUAGGGGAGCAUUCCACUCUGCGUCGAAGGUGAAGCGUGAGCUUUGCUGGAGCGUGUGGAAAAGCAAAUGUAGGUAUAAGUAACGAUAAAGGGGGUGAGAAACCCCCUCGCCGAAAGACUAAGGUUUCCUGAUCAACGCUAAUCGGAUCAGGGUUAGUCGGGUCCUAAGGCUCAGCCGAACGGUGAGGCCGAUGGCAGAACAGGUUAAUAUUCCUGUACUACCUUAAGGAGUGACGUGGAGACGGAGCAGUGACAGCGCCGCGGACUGACGGAAUAGUCCGUUGAAGGGUGUAGAUGUUGAUCAUCCCAGGCAAAUCCGGGAUGAGAGUCGAACCUGAUAGUAUGGAGCGUUCUUCGGAACAAUCCAAUAGUGCGUGUAAGCAUACUCCCAAGAAAAUCCGCUAAACUUAAUCCUUAAGGUACCCGUACCGCAAACGGACACACGUAGUCGGGUUGAAUAUACUAAGGCGCUUGAGUGAUUCACGGUUAAGGAACUAGGCAAAUUGACCCUGUAACUUCGGGAUAAAGGGUCCCAACGAGAGUUGGGCGCAGAGAAUAGGUCCAGGCAACUGUUUAACAAAAACACAGGGCUGUGCCAAAUUGAAAGAUUACGUAUACAGCCUGACACCUGCCCGGUGCUGGAAGGUUAAGAGGAGAUGUCAUCGCAAGAGAAGCAUUGAAUUGAAGCCCCAGUAAACGGCGGCCGUAACUAUAACGGUCCUAAGGUAGCGAAAUUCCUUGUCGGGUAAGUUCCGACCUGCACGAAUGGUGUAAUGAUCUGGACACUGUCUCAACCGUGAGCUCAGUGAAAUUGUAGUAUCGGUGAAGAUGCCGAUUACCCGCGAUGGGACGAAAAGACCCCGUGAACCUUUACUAUAGCUUAACAUUGAAUUUGGGUAAUUGAUGUGUAGGAUAGGCCGGAGACUUUGAAGCAGGUACGCCAGUAUUUGUGGAGUCGCUGUUGAAAUACGGCCCUUUGAUUAUUUGAGUUCUAACUCGUAGUUGCGAGGACACUGUUUGGUGGGUAGUUUGACUGGGGUGGUCGCCUCCAAAAUAGUAACGGAGGCUUCUAAAGGUGCCCU